rnacentral:rRNA from 1 species
GAAUGAACGCUGGCGGCGUGCCUAACACAUGCAAGUCGAGCGAGAAAGUCCCCUUCGGGGGGCGAGUAAAGCGGCGCACGGGUGAGUAACGCGUGGGUAACCUACCCUUGAGUGGGGGAUAACCAGCCGAAAGGCUGACUAAUCCCGCAUACGACCGGCAGACACAAGUCUGUCGGGGAAAGAUGGCCUCUGCUUGCAAGCUAUCGCUCUUGGACGGGCCCGCGUUGGAUUAGCUAGUUGGUGAGGUAACGGCUCACCAAGGCGACGAUCGAUAGCGGGUCUGAGAGGAUGAUCCGCCAGACUGGAACUGAGACACGGUCCAGACUCCUACGGGAGGCAGCAGUAGGGAAUUUUCCACAAUGGGGGCAACCCUGAUGGAGCAACGCCGCGUGCAGGAUGAAGGCCUUCGGGUCGUAAACUGCUUUUCUCUGUGACGAUUAUGACAGUAGCAGAGGAAUAAGGAUCGGCUAACUCCGUGCCAGCAGCCGCGGUCAUACGGAGGAUCCAAGCGUUAUCCGGAAUUACUGGGCGUAAAGAGUUGCGUAGGCGGCCCGUUAAGCGGGACAUGAAAUAGUGUGGCUCAACCAUACUGCUAUGUUCCGAACUGACAGGCUAGAGGAUGAGAGAGGUUAUUGGAAUUCCCAGUGUAGGAGUGAAAUCCGUAGAUAUUGGGAGGAACACCGAUGGCGUAGGCAGAUAACUGGCUCAUUCCUGACGCUCAGGCACGAAAGCGUGGGGAGCAAACGGGAUUAGAUACCCCGGUAGUCCACGCCGUAAACGAUGGAUGCUAGCUGUACACCGUAUCGACCCGGUGUGUAGCGAAGCUAACGCGUUAAGCAUCCCGCCUGUGGAGUACGAGCGCAAGCUUAAAACAUAAAGGAAUUGACGGGGACCCGCACAAGCGGUGGAGCGUGUUGUUUAAUUCGAUGGUAAGCGAAGAACCUUACCCAGGCUUGAAAUCCUGCGAAAGCUUCCGAAAGGAAUCUGUGCCCUCGGGAACGCAGUGACAGGUGUUGCAUGGCCGUCGUCAGCUCGUGUCGUGAGAUGUUGGGUUAAGUCCCGCAACGAGCGCAACCCUUAUGUUCAGUUGUAUUUUUCUGAACAGACUGCCCUGGUAACAGGGAGGAAGGAGGGGAUGAUGUCAGGUCAGUAUUACCCUUACGUCUGGGGCUACAAACACGCUACAAUGGCCGGUACAAAGGGCAGCCAAGUCGCGAGACGGAGCAAAUCCCAUCAAAACCGGUCUCAGUUCGGAUAGCAGGCUGAAACUCGCCUGCUUGAAGCUGGAAUCGCUAGUAAUGGUAGGUCAGCACACUACCGUGAAUACGUUCCCGGGUCU